UUUUGGGAACCUCUUUUGGCCAGUAGUGAAGACUGUGAGAAUCAAAGUGCCAGAUCACAAAAAGCUUUUACAGAACAUCGUGCUGGUUGAUCUUCCUGGAAAUGGAGACUGUAAUCAGACCAGAGACGAGAUGUGGAAAUCAAUGUUAAGGAAGUGCACAGAUGUUUGGGUUGUGAGUAAUAUCAAUCGAGCCGUAUCUGACAAGGCAGCCUGGGAGAUCCUGAAGAGCAGCAUGACAGAUAUGGUGCAGGGAGGGGCAUGCACUGGCAUCACUUUCAUCUGCACCAAAACUGAUGUUAUGAAUCCUGAGGAAUACAUGAGAUCACAAAAACUGAAGGAUACAGAUCUAAAAAUCACAGCGGACAAUGUAAGUGAAAACAGGAUACAAACCGACACCGCUUCAUUAGAUGGAUAGAUCUAUGUCAGAUGAUAUACAAACUGAAUUAUUAUUCUCCCUAUUUCCCAGGUGUCAGAGAGAAAACGUGGAUGUAUACUGCACAGGAAUAACAUGGCCAAGAAUGGAGUGAAACAAGCCUUUCAAAAACAGUGUCAACUCCAGAAAUAUUACAUCAGAAGCAUUUCAGUGUUUACUGUAAGUUCACGGGAGUUCUGCUCAAAGAAGCCAUAUC